UACGUAGGGGGCAAGCGUUGUCCGGAUUUAUUGGGCGUAAAGAGCGUGUAGGCGGCCAUACAGGUCAGCUGUGAAAACUCGAGGCUCAACCUCGAGACGUCGGUUGAAACCGUAUGGCUAGAGUCCGGAAGAGGAGAGUGGAAUUCCCGGUGUAGCGGUGAAAUGCGCAGAUAUCGGGAAGAACACCCGUGGCGAAGGCGGCUCUCUGGGACGGUACCGACGCUGAGACGCGAAAGCGUGGGGAGCGAACAGG
rnacentral:rRNA from 1 species